AGAAAUCUGAUGAGGUUCAAUAAGGAUAAGUGCAGGGUCCUGCACUUAGGACGGAAGAACCCAAUGCACAGCUACAGACUAGGGACCGAAUGUCUAGGCAGCAGUUCUGUGGAAAAGGACCUAGGGGUGACAGUUGACGAGAAGCUGGAUAUGGGUCAGCAGUGUGCCCUUGUUGCCAAGAAGGCCAAUGGCAUUUUGGGAUGUAUAAGUAGGGGCAUACGAGCAGAUCGAGGGACGUGAUCGUUCCCCUCUAUUCGACAUUGGUGAGGCCUCAUCUGGAGUACUGUGUCCAGUUUUGGGCCCCACACUUCAAGAAGGAUGUGGAUAAAUUGGAGAGAGUCCAGCGAAGGGCAACAAAAAUGAUUAGGGGUCUGGAACACAUGAGUUAUGAGGAGAUGCUGAGGGAGCUGGGAUUGUUUAGCCUGCAGAAGAGAAGAAUGAGGGGGGAUUUGAUAGCUGCUUUCAACUACCUGAAAGGGGGUUCCAAAGAGGAUGGCUCUAGACUGUUCUCAAUGGUAUCAGAUGACAGAACGAGGAGUAAUGGUCUCAAGCUGCAGUGGGGGAGGUUUAGAUUGGAUAUUAGGAAAAACUUUUUCACUAAGAGGGUGGUGAAACACUGGAAUGCGUUACCUAGGGAGGUGGUAGAAUCUCCUUCCUUAGAGGUUUUUGAGGUCAGGCUUGACAAAGCCCUGGCUGGGAUGAUUUAACUGGGAAUUGGUCCUGCUUCGAGCAGGGGGUUGGACUAGAUGACCUUCUGGGGUCCCUUCCAACCCUUAUAUUCUAUGAUUCUAUGAUUCUUUCCUACCGCAGACUUGGCCCGCAGGGACCAGACUGAAAAACGCGAUUGGUGGCACGUCCUGCUGGAGGCCCCCCGCCCGCAGAGCCUGCGGGCUCCUGCACGAUCAAAACUCAGCCUACAUACGCACAAAAGAGUCAAGCCGCCCACCUGCCUCCGGGGGGGGGGGUCACUUACUCUUGCCUACCCGCUGGGGUGCGGGAGCUGCCAUCCCCUACCCUGUCACUCACCUGCCUCCCUCCUCAUCCUGUGUGCCCAUGACCCCACCCGGUCUCCUGCACCUCUUGCAUCCCCUCUUCCUGCUCCCGGACAGUCUCCUGUAUCCUGCCUCCUACCGUCACCUGCUACUUUCUCAUCUGUCUCCUGCCCCUUCAGUGCCCCAUACUCGCAUAUACCCCCACUGGCUUUCUCUGUCACAUCUCCUCACUGCCUGCCUGUGGCACCCUGAGUACAACUAAUUACGUGGCUGGCUUCGGCCCCACUGACAUCACUGGGAGACGGAUGCUUUGGGUGAGGGGAAAAUACAUUUCUGCCAUCCAUCACGAGCCCCCGAGACGCGCCUUUAAAAAUAAAGAACACCGAAAAUCUUGAGACGUGCAGUGACAUCGCAGGAAGGGGCAGCUCUCAGACAAGCUGGGCCCAGGCUGACCUGUCCAUGCGGCUCCCAGGGCAACGAGCCCAGCUGGCUGCCCCCCAGCGCCUCCCUACGCACUAGCUGGAUGGGCUGCCAAAGGCAGUGCCCAGACCUGUGCAGGGUGGGGGCACCUGGUCCGUGACAAGGGCUCCGGCGCAGGACAGUAGUGCAAAUACAGUCCUAAUGCAGCCCUCAGGGCCACAGUGCUGGGCGUCAGACGGCCCUGAGAGGAGACCGCGCCCUUAGAACCUGCUAUGGGUCUGCUAGACAAAGGCACGGCUUUCCUUUCGAUUUCACUGCCUCGCUGUAAGGGAGCCGAUAAAAAUACCCAAGUCCUGCGAUGCCUUUCUCUGCUCCCCCGUCAGACAAGUUGUGUGUCUAUUUCUCCCCCGCCCCUCGCUGAUCUGCUCCUGUCUUCUCUGUGGUGCACAGGGGAAGCAGCUGCGCCCCAGAGCCCUAGGCCCUCUGGUCGACACGACAAAGUUAGGGCGACGCAUGUCACCUGUGGCAACCUCUCUGUGCAUGUGGCUCCAGCCGAGGGAGACUGAUGACACGUGCGUGGAGAUGCUCUGCAGUCCUGUCCCGGAGGUUUCCAGGGUUGGCUGCUGUAUUUCUUCCUCCACGUAGAACACUUUCCUGUGCCACUCUGCGAUGAGUCCAGCUGGCGGGGAGAUGACGGCAGUACCCAGACGAGCAGCAUACGGUCCCAGGCGGCUUGGGGGGCCAGUAGCAGCUAUGCUCUGUGACCCUCACGGCAGCUUCUGGUGGAGCAGCUUUAAAGGAUGCCCUCGCCACACCCACAGAGCAUCUGACCCUCGUGAGGAGAAAGAAGAGAACCAGGGAGAACAUGUUCUGUGAGAUCCUGCAAGCUAGAGCUGCACUGGCGGGCUGAUAUGACCAACAGCCUGGAGAAGGACGGAGUGGCCAAGAGAAAGGCCCUGCAGGACACAGAGUGGGAAAUGCACCAGGCCAAUGGAUCAUCUCAGGCAGCUAACUCAAAUGCUGCAGACCCUGGCUGACCUACAGGUCCAAAAAUCCCACUUUUGCAGUCCUUGGAGGACUCCAUGGUCGCUGCUCCCUACACCUGCCAACAUACCACGUGGCAACCACUCCACAUCACGCCACACUGGGGGACAGCAAGGAAUACCAGUUUGACAUACACUGACCUGAGAGAACCACGGCUAGUGUAUGAGUAGCCACAAUGGGCUGCCUUUGUGUAC